rnacentral:rRNA from 1 species
UAGGGGAUCUUCCACAAUGGGCGCAAGCCUGAUGGAGCAACACCGCGUGAGUGAAGAAGGGUUUCGGCUCGUAAAGCUCUGUUGUUAAAGAAGAACACGUAUGAGAGUAACUGUUCAUACGUUGACGGUAUUUAACCAGAAAGUCACGGCUAACUACGCGCCAG